UACUUAUAUGUUUUGCAUUGCAAAGCAUUUUACAAACAUUGAAAUACUUUUGAAGUAUAGUUACUGUUUUAGAAAACAGCAGCCAAUGUGUGGGCAGCAAGUUCCUCGAGAAUGGCAAUAAUGAGCAGAUAUCUAUUUUAGUGAUUUUAAUUGAGGUAUAGACGUUGCCAGCACAACAUGGAUAAUCCUCCUUCAAAUUAAUUCCAUGGGAUAAAACAGAAGGAUUUUUUCUAAAUGGUAACCAUGUCACAAUGCCAACCAACCAGCUUUAUCCGACAUACAAUAGGAAAUGCAAAACAAAACAAAACCGGAAGCACACGAAGAAAUGCCCAAGUAGGUGAGGAUAAAUUAGAGUUUAUUUAUCAGCUCUGGGGCCUGCAGUCAAAAUCCGAAAAUGAGAGCCAGAAAACACUUGAGAGUUUUCUCCGUUACGAACAUCAUCAAGUUUUUCCCAAAUCUUUCCUCAUAGCAAAUCACGAGUGCAACUGAACGAACCGCAGCUUUGCAUUUUAUUCUUCCACAUAAUCUCUGAAGUUUGGUCAGUGAAAAAUGUUUGAGCCAAUACAGUGUAGGUAGUCCUGCUAGAAACGAAAACGAGACUGAAAACUCUAUCUUGUGGAAGUUCACAUCAACUCUUCAGAUUGAACUCUUGUUCAAAUCACCUGAGAACAAGCAGACGACAGUGGGAACUCAGUGAUGCGUGAAAUGACCAGGCCAUUUCGCUGCAGAUGCAGAUCGACAUAUAUUCUAAUCUGAUGUUAUACUUUCGCAUUAAAUUGUAUUUUUACCAAUCCCACCCCCCAACCCCGCCGUUUUGUUCAUGUAUGACGUGCAUUUAGUUAAUCAAAUCAACCUGUCUUUUUUCUAAUACGUUUUAUGUUAAAGUGGAAUACUGAUCUUCAAGGUAUGCGGUGUAAAAUUAUUAUGCUAUACGAUAAUACUGUUAAUCUACUGGUCAUGAAAUUGUUCGAGUUAAAACUCUAUAAUUGCCCCGUUAUCGGAUAUACAGUCUUAUUCCCGCAUCUAGUUUUUGUCUUGCAAAUGGACUACUAAGAGAUUUGAGUGAGUAGAUUUGUAAGCUUGAUGGAUACUAGUACUGAAAUCAGAGCCAUUUGACGACAUUUCAGAUCGAUUUUCCAUGUAAUAUUUAUAUUUUAAACAUCCUAGUUGCAGAGGUCAGAUAAACGGAUGCUCCCGAAACAAAUUCCAGAUUCUGUUAUCUGCAUCGUUACGAAAAGCUGGUCGCAUUCAGGAAGAAACGGUAGCUACCUCAUACGACAGCGAAAGGUAGUGAAGAACACUUCUCACUCCAACAUUCCGCACCAAAGUUGCGUGAAAAAGAAUGCUUUCACCCCGGCCAACAAAAGUUGUGCUGAUUGUCAUCACUAGUGACGAGAUCCGUCAACAUUUCAAUAAUAUCCCGGUAAUUCGAUCGUCCCACAGGCUCUCAAAAUAAAGCGCCAUUUCAGUUAACACUUUAAACAACCCCAAAUUGCAUCCUUUGUAAAUUACACCCUGAAAUUGCACCUCACCGGAGCAGCCACAUCGAAAUGUACAACACAAGCAUACAUCAUUCAUGCGGCGGAACAGAUGCAGAUGUAUAAAUUCUCCGGACGGUGAAACGUAUGCAAAUCCUUUCAAGCCCUAUUUUGAAAUAACCUGAAAAUUCGUAAUCACAGUGUUAAACUGGUGCGGCAAGGAACUCUGGAAAGGAAAUUUUAAGACACAAUUAUCAAAUCCCUAUGUAGCCAUGAAGUGAUCUUUUGUUUUAACUCCUGAACUAUUUUUAAGCGAACUGUGAUUUCCACCAUGUCCAGUUUGCUGUAUGAACAAGAUUGAUUUAAUUGGAGAACACAAUUUGAUCAGCUACAAUAAAUUGCAAAGUGAUUGAAAUGUUUCGAUUCCCAGCUGUUGCAGUCCGCGCUCUGCUCUUCAUUUCUCGCGAGUUACCUGUCCUCAGUGAGCUGCACAUAAACCCUAGCAUGACACGGUUGAUUUACAGUAAGUGAACAUUUAAUCUCCUCCUUCGCUAUCCAGAAUCUGAAACCGAAACUGCUUCCCACACAGCCCUGCAUUUUGGACCCAGGCAGUGACGACGGGGAGAUGUAUCAAUGGUACAGUAUGGUAAAUGGAGGUCGGAAAAUGAUUGUGUUGCAGCCCAUUAAUUGAUUUAUUGCUAAUUUGUUGCCCAUUGGAGUUGAAUAGACUAUUUCAAGAUAAUAUCUGUGCUAAUAUUAAACCUUUCGUCUUUAAUAAGAGUGGACCCCGACUUGAUGGUUCUGAUGGAGAACAAAUGUAUUUAAAUCACAACCGGAUCUGUCAGUGUGCGCUCUUUGAGCAUCCUGAUACACUCGGUGGAGACCUUCCGAGAACUUAAAAGUUUCCAAUGAACAUGCGACCGUUCUUAACUGUAGAAAACAGUUCUGAAAGUAUCCGGCACUUUUAUCAUUAACUUCAGGCAUUUUCCCCUUGCGGCAAUAUUAAUAGAAGUAUAUUUCUCCCGGAAGCUUCAUGUCCUAUCAUUUGGGUAUUACAAGUGACAUCCAUGCUCAAUAAAUUGCAACUUGCUAUUUUUAAUCCUUAACAAAUCGGUGCUAUGUAUUGGCCGGGCCCACUUAAAAAAAAUAGCACGACUCAACAAAACAUAUAAAAAAGUGACUUACAAAGUAAAACUAGGCGAGUUUUUGGAAGUAAAUGCUGAAGGUUUAGUUUUACUGUACAAAUCAAAGUGGAAAGAAAUGUGCAUUCAAAAAUGAGUGGAUGUAUCUGUGAAAAUUAAUCUGCUUCUCGCAUCGCCUGGGCAAAAGUUGUCGGCUUUCUCUCCGUAUGACUUGAGUAAGCAAAACAUUGUCAUUUUAGGAAAAAAAGGGGGUAUUUUCCACUGACUGGUCCACCCCCCCCCCCCCCCCCCCCCGUUAAAUGGGCGUUCCUGAGAAGAUGAAACUUGGCCACGUUAGGAAGUAGCGGCCGAGAUUUGUUUUUGCAACGCAGCUUCGCUGUAACACCAGCAGCUGCACAAUGCGCCCAUUGGAGCCUUACCGGGGGGGGGGGGAUAAAAACCCACCUUGCGCUACCGCCACUGAAGCGAAACACUUUAUGUAACAUGUUGCGCGGUGGAAUAUUAUUUUGCAAAUAUUUUCGUUUCCCUUCCACUGCAGGUUUUUGAAGCCGGCGGAUUUUACACAUAUCAGAAAUCGAAAAGCAACAACGGUCUUAAAACCGAGUUUUUUUUUUGUUUUUCAAGUACAGUUUAUUGAUGAGGAUGUGGGCUGAGGAGAGACUAAAAUCAAAUGAAAAGUCUCCUGAACUGAAUGCACGCCAAGUUUUGGUGUUGCGACAUUGGUCCUGUGAUACAUUUUCCAAGCAAAUCCCGCUUCACACCGAGGCUGGGAUUUGGGGGCAUCUUGGAUGCCCACGCGGUGUAUUAUAGAUCAUAUUGCUACUUUAUUCAGAGGUUGGAGGUGCUGUCUUCCGUGACGGGGGACAGUCACGGUUCGGGCCUCAGAGGUCGUGCUAACUCGUUUCCCAGACAAGAAACGCCCUCCGCCACACAGUCAAGCCUCAUUUAUCAAACAAGUGGCUGUUCCCGAGAUUGUUAACCAGCAGUGACUGGCGAAAGGCAUUGCUAAAACAGAAAGCAGUUCGUGCUAAGUGCAUGGGUUACUGGAACUGAUGAGAUCACAGUCCGCCAAUGUAGCGAUGUCAAAUGCGUUUUGAAGUUUUCCCAAAUCUAACUACAGCAACCCAACAAAGAGUUUUGUAGCGCCCUUCGCGACUCAAGACGUCAAGAAUAUUUAAACCCAAUACAACACCUUCUUGAAGCGUAAUCACUUGCAAUGUAAUAGCAGUUAGCAGGAGGACAAUGCACGCUGGUGCAUUUAAACUACAAACAAUACCCAUUCCCUUCCUAGCACAGGAACAAACCGUACAGCAGGCGGCAGAAUCACGAAACAUGUUUUCCUAUAUUGGAACGAAUCGAUGGUAGAUGCAGAAUUCAGCAAAAAAAAAAUGAAUGCACAUUAAGCAAAUAUGCUAUUUUUAAUGACCUAUCAGCAUCCAAGUAAAAUUACAGGAAAUUACUUUGGCUACCUGCUGGGAGAUUUAUAGGUGUUUCAUUACCUUGCUAAAUUAGUCACCAUUUUAUUAUUGUUAUGAUUUAAUGAAUGCAAUUUUACAGUGGUUUGUGGCUGUUAUGUGCUUUCCCUGUUUCCAGCUGCAGCGGCAAUCUCAAAUUAUUUAGACUAUUUUCUUAAAGACAUCAGUUAUCAUUUAAAUGUUAAUGUGACUUUUCCCCAGGUACUAGCAGGGAUUCUUUCCUGGAAGUUACACGCCAAGCGAAAAAGCGAUAUUUAUUGAAAUCUAUAAAGAUAUAACUGACACUCAGUUGUUUAAAAAAAAGCGUGGAAAUGAUCCAUUGAAAUCCGAGCGGUUUGACUCGAACGGGAUCAUUUACUCAAGUGAAAUUAUCUCCCGUGGUCAAUCAUGGCGGCUGGUACAGGUCAGAAGGCAAAAUGCAGCAUUCACUAAGCUUGUCAACACAUAUAUCUGAACAGUGCUUGUUAGAUCUUCAAUUCGGGCACAAAAGGGAACGAUGCUUUCGGAAGAGCUGAUGGAAUUGUCACUUAGUAAUGUUGGUGAAAAAUCUGAGUAAAACGGCGGGCUAAUUAAUGACUGUUGUGGAGUCGUCAGAACUAUUUACUUUAUUGUAAGGUCAAUGCAAAUUUUCUACAGCCCUGCCAUCAUAGCAUAAUUAUUGAUAAAACGAAUAAUAGUGUCCUCAUGGAAACGUCUCCGGAUAUGCUAGGGUUGGUUAGUGCUCGCCUGUGGUAUCGUGUCUAUAAAUACAACAAAAUAAAUACAACUGCAUUUCUAUUGUCAGAAGGUGUGUAGCUUCUCGUUCUAAUAGAGAAGUAUUCGUAUUAUAACAAGCAGACAGGCGCAAAGAAGCACAUUAUCCCAGAGUCUGGCCAAACGACAAGGGAUGCCAUUCAGUGCUUCUACUGAAAUAAUUCGAAAAUAUUCUAAAUAGUUUCAAAUCAAUCCUCAGGUGUCAAUCGAAGAAGUACCGUGGGUUACCUGACGAGCAUUUAUUAUUGAAUUAACUUACGAUUCAAUAAAAGUAGAGCAAGCUCCGAAAAUGCCAUGGCCACAACUACACGUGGUUGGAAACUCCCCACUCCGAGUUGUAGUCGCGAGGAAAAAUGAAAAUGGAUUCACACAACUCGAAAUAUAUUGUAUUCGUGAAAUGUUUUUGGUUAUAAGCACAAACUUGUCUUCAUUGUACACCGGUAUAGGUUGACGUUCUGUUGAAUGAAGCCAUUUCGUGGAUUAAAAAUAUACUACCAAUAAAUUAACGUGAAAAUUGAAUAUUUCCCCUGAUAUUUUUACCGCUGUUACUCAAAUCUGAAAUGCCCGUACAAAGUUGAAUAAACCCUCUGUUUAGAAUAUUCCUGGCAAUUUAUAAUGGGAACGGAGAACAUUUGGAGCCUCGAGCUAAAUACAAUGUGGGGUUUUGAUAGAGUCAAUAAGGAGAAAUUGUUUCUACUGGCAGGAGGGUCGGUAACCUGAGGAUACACGUUUAGGAUAAUUGGCAAAAGAACCAGAGGGGAGAGGAGGAGAAAUGUGUUUCUGCAGCGAGUUGUUCUGUUCUGGAAUGUACGAUCUGAAAAAGGCGGUGGAAGCAGGUUCAAUAAUAGCAUUCAAAAUGUAAUUUAAUAUUUGAAACCAUAUGCACGAUCGUGGGGAAAAGGGAGUAGGUCUAAUUGGUUGGCCUUUUCAAAAAAGAUGGGUCAAAGAUGGCUCCUUCUGCAUUGUAUGAUUCUAGUCAAAAGUACACCUCAAAAUUAGUGAUAAUGAUGGUCGCACCCGGGGCGCUCAGUAUUGUUCCUGGAGCAUAUGUUUCUGCAUGACUGGAAAUUGCUGCAGAGCCAUUGAGGGUUAUGUGCACGCCUGCACUCAGUGUGCAGCCUUGUAAUAACAAUGUCUGGCAAUCGUUGUUCACGAGAAGUGGAAUGCAUUGAAUUAUGCAAAUUUUACCACGUUCCUGCUGACUACGGUCAACCACAGAAGGGAUCUUUUGCUACCCCGACCCUCCCCACGACGUCUUGAUGAAGAGGAUGAGCAGAAGAACGUAAGUGCUGCCAAAGAUAAAGCACACAGACUUCCACGUGGUUUAACAUUUCAGGAUCGAGCAACGUCACUCUGUUUCGACCCCUUAAUAUUUUAAUAAAGAGACCUCACGCCAUCUAUGAGGCUCCCACAAAAAAGGCAAGUGAGAAACAAUAAUAUGCCGAAAACAAAAUGUUGAUCUAAUGUUUUCAACCACGCCACGACUUGAAUUCAAACUGGAACUGAGGAAAAAGCCUCAAGCUCUACGCUUGCUUGGGACUUGAUCUGAGGGAGGAGGUGGCGACUCCUCAUGGCCAAUGCUAAAGAACCUAGAUUUUGUGGGCUAGGAUGUGGUCCAGUCUUUUGGACACCGCCAGCCCAGACAUAUGCACUUCUUUUUCCUCCUUUCUAACCUCCCAGAGGUGAUGAUUUCUUCCUCAGUGCCAGUUGUCCCCACUGGACCCCCAACCUUACUGGGUAUCUCAUCUGAUUCCCCCACACUGCACUCUCUCUGCUCUUUGUGUUUACUACAGGAAAGUCUGCUAACACAGUAUAUCAGUCAUCACACCUAUAGGCCAAAGGUCAGAUACUUGGCAAUGGCUGAAGAUCACAUCUUCCUGAGACUGGGCAAGGAUGGCAUCACUUGCAGCCACCAAGGUAACCACAACCUUCAAUAUUUCCCUCACUCCUUUGCCUCCAUUUAUUUACUAAUUGCUUUCUGGAAUGGGCACUGGAAGAUCUGAAUAUCUGGCCUGGAUGAACUUAAUGCUAUCUAUUGUACUGAA